AAGGAUCAUUACCGAAUUGUUGACACGAGUUGUUGCUGGUCCUCAAGUGGGGAUACGUGCACGCUCUGUUUACACAUCCACUCACACCUGUGCACCCUCCAUAGUUCUGCAGCCUGGGGGCUCUGUCCCCUGCUGCAGCUCUGUGUAUUUACACACACACACACACUGUAGUAAAGUCUCAUGGAAUGCAUACCGCGUUUAACGCAAUAUAAUACAACUUUCAGCAACGGAUCUCUUGGCUCUC
rnacentral:misc_RNA from 1 species